GAUGAACGCUGGCGGCGUGCCUAAUACAUGCAAGUCGAGCGAACAGAUGAGGAGCUUGCUCCUCUGACGUUAGCGGCGGACGGGUGAGUAACACGUGGAUAACCUACCUAUAAGACUGGGAUAACUUCGGGAAACCGGAGCUAAUACCGGAUAAUAUAUUUAACCGCAUGGUUCAAUAGUGAAAGACGGUUUUGCUGUCACUUAUAGAUGGAUCCGCGCCGCAUUAGCUAGUUGGUAAGGUAACGGCUUACCAAGGCAACGAUGCGUAGCCGACCUGAGAGGGUGAUCGGCCACACUGGAACUGAGACACGGUCCAGACUCCUACGGGAGGCAGCAGUAGGGAAUCUUCCGCAAUGGGCGAAAGCCUGACGGAGCAACGCCGCGUGAGUGAUGAAGGUCUUCGGAUCGUAAAACUCUGUUAUUAGGGAAGACCAAAUGUGUAAGUAACUAUGCACGUCUUGACGGUACCUAAUCAGAAAGCCACGGCUAACUACGUG
rnacentral:rRNA from 1 species